GCACUGCUGAAGAGUCCCAAAAUGGGACUAAAUAGAUGUCCAGUGC
rnacentral:hammerhead_ribozyme from 1 species